rnacentral:rRNA from 1 species
GCGCGAAAACUUUGCACUGUGCGAAAGCACGACAAGGGAAUCCCAAGUGCUAGCUCGUUAGAGUUAGCUGUUUUUCUGUCUAAAAAACAGAGAGAGUAAGGGCUGGGUAAGACGGGUGCCAGCCGCCGCGGUAAUACCUGCAGCCCAAGUGGUGACUGUUAUUAUUGGGCCUAAAACGUCCGUAGCCGGUUUAGUAAAUGCCUAGGUAAAUCGUACGGCUUAACCGUACGAAUUCUGGGUAGACUGCUGAACUUGAGAUCGGGAGAGGCUAGAGGUACUCCUGGGGUAGAGGUGAAAUUCUGUAAUCCUAGGGGGACCACCAGUGGCGAAGGCGUCUAGCUAGAACGAGUCUGACGGUCAGGGACGAAGCCCUGGGGCGCAAACGGGAUUAGAUACCCCGGUAGUCCAGGGUGUAAACGCUGUUCGCUUGAUGUUAGCUGGGCUCCGAGCCCGGCUAGUGUCGGAGAGAAGUUGUUAAGCGAACUGCCUGGGAAGUACGGUCGCGAAGACUGAAACUUAAAGGAAUUGGGCGGGGGAGCACCGCAACGGGAGA